rnacentral:lncRNA from 1 species
UUUUUCGCUCUCUGACUUUCUCCUUCCAAACAGUUCUUGAUCGAAUAUACAUUCAGAUAAAACUUUAGUGGGCUCUUGGGGGAGUUUUCGAUCUGCUGUCGCGUAUUAUUUUUGUUGUAGUUCAAGAAUUCGUUUCGUAUUCUUUAAUACUGAUUUUUUUUUAAAAAAAUAAAUCUAUAAAGAAAAAAAUGUAAUAUUUGGAUAGAGACAAAACUGACAUGUGACAACGAAUUCGAUGCUCGUCAGUUAGGCUUGUUUGUUUAGGUGAAGGUGGAGAGGGGUGAAGUAGCUUUCGGCCGUAAAUAAUUACUUCUGUUGUUUGUUUUGCUGUAAUAAAUAUACGGUCGAAACUCGAGUUAUCCAAAAACAACGUUGGGCCGAUGUCAAUUACGGUGAAGAAAGUAAAGAAAAAGAUAAUAAAAUAAUACAACAAGCAAUGCUAGUUAUAUUUAAAUAUAUUAAAUUAUGAUAUUAAUUACUCUUUUAUUUAGUUUGUAUAUUAAAAAUAUGAUAAAAUUUGAUUAGGUAAGUUUUAUUAUUUCCUUCAUUUAAUUUGUACAUCUAAAAUAUGAUGAAAAAUUAAUUAGUUAAGUGUGUGUGUAUAUAUAUAUAUAUAUAUAUAUAUAGAGAGAGCAGGGCUGCUGUGCUCUCAGGAGCACGGAGGCCUCCGUGCUCCUGAGCCAUUUUCGAUGAUGGAGUUUUCGAAUCGACGAUCGGCUCCGUUAAACUUGAUCUAGCGUAUUUAAAGUUUCUAGAAAAUAAUUUUUGCGAUUUUUCGAUAUCAUUUACCUAGCAAUCGAAAGGAUUCAAAAUCAAUAAUUGUUAACGGCUGAAAAUAAAAAUCCUAUAAAACGUGGUGAUAUAGCACUAAAAUUUUCGAUCAGAAAUAUAGAUCUUGUUAUAGAUAGUAUAAAGAAUUUUCUAUCAAAAUUUCAUCUGAUUUGAAUACUUCUACACCGUUAAACUUGAAAACGGCAGAUAUUAACCAUUAAAAAUUACAGAUUUUGAAUCCUUUCGAUCACUAGGUAAAUGAUAUCGAAAAAUCGCAAAAAUUAUUUUCUAGAAACUUCAAAUGCGCUAGAUCAAGUCUAACGGAGCCGAUCGUCGAUUCGAAAAUUCCAUCAUCGAAAACGGCUCAGGAGCACGGAGGCCUCCGUGCUCCUGAGAGCACAGCAGCCCUGCUCUAUAUAUAUAUANAAAUAAUUUAGUUAUUUUAUAUUAAAUUUUUUAAAUUACAUAGAAAUAUAAUUAUAUUAUUUUUAUUUAUUAUAUUAUAAUUUAUUAUUUAUUAAGUUAUUUAUUAUUUAUAUAUAAAUUAUAGUUUUAUAUUAUUCACUCUUUACUAAACAAAUAAUAGAAUUAAAAAAAAAAUUUACUUCCAUAACUAUAAAACAAAAUAAUAAAUAAAAUAAUUUUUAUCGAUUUUUAUUUUAAUCUAAA